UACGGAGGGUGCGAGCGUUAAUCGGAAUUACUGGGCGUAAAGCGCGCGUAGGCGGUUCACUCAGUCCUUUGUGAAAGCCCUGGGCUUAACCUGGGAAUGGCAGGGGAUACUGGUGGGCUAGAGUGUGGUAGAGGAUGGCGGAAUUUCCGGUGUAGCAGUGAAAUGCGUAGAGAUCGGAAGGAACACCAGUGGCGAAGGCGGCCAUCUGGACCAACACUGACGCUGAGGUGCGAAAGCGUGGGGAGCAAACAGG
rnacentral:rRNA from 1 species